rnacentral:rRNA from 1 species
AACGAACGCUGGCGGCAGGCUUAACACAUGCAAGUCGAGCGCCCCGCAAGGGGAGCGGCAGACGGGUGAGUAACACGUGGGAAUCUACCCAUCCCUAGGGGAUAACACAGAGAAAUUUGUGCUAAUACCCUAUACGUCCUUCGGGAGAAAGAUUUAUCGAGGAUGGAUGAGCCCGCGUCGGAUUAGCUAGUUGGUGGGGUAAUGGCCCACCAAGGCGACGAUCCGUAGCUGGUCUGAGAGGAUGAUCAGCCACAUUGGGACUGAGACACGGCCCAAACUCCUACGGGAGGCAGCAGUGGGGAAUAUUGGACAAUGGGCGCAAGCCUGAUCCAGCCAUGCCGCGUGAGUGAUGACGGCCUUAGGGUUGUAAAGCUCUUUCACCCACGACGAUAAUGACGGUAGUGGGAGAAGAAGCCCCGGCUAACUUCGUGCCAGCCGCCGCAGUAAGAC